rnacentral:tRNA from 1 species
UCCCUGAUGGUCCAGUGGGUAGGAUUUGGCGCUCCAAAUGCAGGGGGCCCAGGUUCAAUCCCUAGUUGGGGAA